ACAAAGCGAACUAUUCUUUCGCCUUUUACUAAAGAAUACCGUGUGCUCUCUAUGCUUAAUGGCAUACGCCUAUUUUUGGAGGGUCCCACUAUCGUGGGCCCAACAACUUCUAGUUGAAAAAUUUGUCUUGUUUUUGUUUAAUUCUAGACUGGCUACAUUUAUCUUUGUCCUUGGGAAGAAAUCAAUUUUAAUUGGUUAAGUAUAAAUUUGCCACACUGAUGAUGCUUAACAAAUUCCUUCAUAAAAUCAUAAUGUGUUAACUUGAUUUAUAUUUACUUUUAUUUGUUUUAGGGACGUGAUAUCUUCUUCACAUAAGAAUCAUAUUUUUAUAAUUUUCCACCAAAAAUGUUGGCAUUGCUUAUAUUUUGAAAACAGGUUUACAGCAAGAUCUACAAUAAACAGAAAACUUGUUGGGCCUAUUCUAUGUAAGGUUCAGGCGACAUUUAUCAAUUAGGUCACCACUCGUUUCUCACAUCGGCGAUCGCCGGAGUUUCGGAAAACCGGCGAGCCAAUCAAACGAGGAAGAAGAAAUGGAUCACAGGAAGCUCCCGACGGAUUACGAUCCAGCGACUUAGAUCUCGUCUCUCGCGUUAUCAGAAAUCUCAGAUCUCGCUGCGAUUCUGAUGAAGAAGAAAGGAAUCACGGUGCUGCCAAACGUCGCCGUUACGAAACUCGGAGCUGUUGGUUCUGAGAUGGUUCAGGGACAAAGCGUUGGUGGUAGUGAAGAAGCUAAACCUUUGCAUCUUUAAGAUGUUUCGUCAAAAUAAGUUUAUUCAUUGGCUAAAAUAAUCAGAUGUUUGGGAA